UACGUAGGGUGCAAGCGUUGUCCGGACUUAUUGGGCGUAAAGCGCUCGCAGGCGGUCCUUUAAGUCUGAUGUGAAAGCCCACGGCUCAACCGUGGAGGGUCAUUGGAAACUGGGGGACUUGAGUACAGAAGAGAAGAGUGGAAUUCCACGUGUAGCGGUGAAAUGCGUAGAGAUGUGGAGGAACACCAGUGGCGAAGGCGACUCUUUGGUCUGUAACUGACGCUGAGGCGCGAAAGCGUGGGGAGCAAACAGG
rnacentral:rRNA from 1 species